AGUUGUGACCCCUAGCCCUCCUCUUCCAAUAGACCCCCCCCCCCCCUGAUCUUGACCUCAAGGAUGCAUCCUAGAAACAAGGUGCGGAGCUGUACACAGUCCUUCCUACAACUUGUAGAAGAUCCCGCACAGGCUUCACAACCAGUCAUGUGACCCCUAGCCCUCUUCCAACUGAUUGCCCCCUUGAUCUUGACCUCAAGAUGCAACCUGGAAACAAAAUUAAGCAUUGUGAUUUUAUCACCAUGAGGGAUGAAGUAGAAAAUUCAGCCUGUACAUCACAUCAAUCGUUCUUGCUGCUGGGGUGAAGGAUAAGUUGGCUCCUUGGCCCCAUUUAUGUACUAUGAAAUGUAAUGCCCUUGUAGCUAUCAUUACGGAACGUAA